rnacentral:rRNA from 1 species
CCUACGGGUGGCAGCAGUGAGGAAUAUUGGUCAAUGGGCGCGAGCCUGAACCAGCCAAGUCGCGUGAAGGAUGACUGCCCUACGGUUUGUAAACUUCUUUUAUAGAGGAAUAAAGUUAUGCACGUGUGCCUUUUUGCAUGUACUCUAUGAAUAAGGAUCGGCUAACUCCGUGCCAGCAGCCGCGGUAAUACGGAGGAUCCGAGCGUUAUCCGGAUUUAUUGGGUUUAAAGGGAGCGUAGGUGGUGUUUUAAGUCAGUGGUGAAAGUUUGCGGCUCAACCGUAAAAUUGCAGUUGAUACUGGCAGCCUUGAGUGUAGUUGAGGUAGGCGGAAUUCGUGGUGUAGCGGUGAAAUGCUUAGAUAUCACGAAGAACUCCGAUUGCGAAGGCAGCUUACUAAACUGUAACUGACACUGAUGCUCGAAAGCGUGGGGAUCAAACAGGAUUAGAUACCCUUGUAGUC